CCGCCCGNCGCCACCUGCCCGCCGCAGGCCCGCCUCCUCCGCCAGCUUAAACCCGGCCCCCCCGUGCCAUCGCGCCCUGCCUGCGAUGAGCUCAGCAAAACUUUAUGAAACAAUUGUGUAUGUGAUUCUCUAUCACUCUUCAGUCUGUUCUUGAUCUGAAGCCUGCACAAAGAAAAUUCUCAUCCACCAGCAUACACAGUCUAAACACGAUAAAUACAGCUGGCACAAUAACUCUGUCCAGAACUGGAAAGACAAUGAUGAGUAACUUGUUCUUACCAGGCUCUAAGGAUUUGCUACUGGCAGUCAUGAACCUCUGCUGAUCUCCCAUCUCAGCCUUCCACCAGCAGCAUGUUCAGCCCCAAAGAGGAGAGGCUCAUGAACGAUGUUAUUUCUUUAUGCCAAAAAAAUUGCAAAUAAACAGGCAAACUUCUGAUUUCCUAAUGUACCCUAUGGUUACUAACCGGAUGUCUGCUGGUUUUAGUGGCUGUUUUAAGCUGUUUUCUGCAAUUGUUUUGUCUGAAAGGGGAGUGUGUAGGGAACAGCUUGCUUCAUGUUUUUAAGAUGACUUUUAUUACUGAGUGGCCUAGCACUCAGAUGCUCAGAGUUAUCUUUUGGGAAUAAAACAGGUUAUUUCUGUA